rnacentral:rRNA from 1 species
GAUCAUGGCUCAGGACGAACGCUGGCGGCGCGCCUAACACAUGCAAGUCGAACGAGAGAUGAGGAGCUUGCUCUUCAAAUCGAGUGGCGAACGGGUGAGUAACGCGUGAGGAACCUGCCUCAAAGAGGGGGGACAACAGUUGGAAACGACUGCUAAUACCGCAUAAGCCCACGGCUCGGCAUCGAGCAGAGGGAAAAGGAGCGAUCCGCUUUGAGAUGGCCUCGCGUCCGAUUAG